rnacentral:rRNA from 1 species
CCUACGGGUGGCAGCAGUGGGGGAUAUUGCACAAUGGGGGGAACCCUGAUGCAGCGACGCCGCGUGAGCGAAGAAGUACCUCGGUAUGUAAAGCUCUAUCAGCAGGGAAGAAAAUGACGGUACCUGACUAAGAAGCCCCGGCUAAAUACGUGCCAGCAGCCGCGGUAAUACGUAUGGGGCAAGCGUUAUCCGGAUUUACUGGGUGUAAAGGGAGCGCAGACGGCAGCGCAAGUCUGGAGUGAAAUGCCGGGGCCCAACCCCGGAACUGCUCUGGAAACUGUGAAGCUGGAGUGCAGGAGAGGUAAGCGGAAUUCCUGGUGUAGCGGUGAAAUGCGUAGAUAUCAGGAGGAACACCGGCGGCGAAGGCGGCUUACUGGACUGUAACUGACGUUGAGGCUCGAAGGCGUGGGGAGCAAACAGGAUUAGAUACCCGAGUAGUC